rnacentral:rRNA from 1 species
UAAGGAAUAUUGGACAAUGCCCGCAAGGGUGAUCCAGCCAUGCCGCGUGCAGGAAGAAGGCCCUAUGGGUCGUAAACUGCUUUUACACCGGAGAAAACCCCCCUACGUGUAGGGGGCUGAUAGUAUGGUGAGAAUAAGCAUCGGCUAACUUCGUGCCAGCAGCCGCGGUAAGACGAAGGAUGCAAGCGUUAUCCGGAUUCAUUGGGUUUAAAGGGAGCGUAGGUGGACUGAUAAGUCAGUGGUGAAAUCUCUUCGCUUAACGAAGAAAUUGCCAUUGAUACUGUUGGUCUUGAGUACAGUUGCUGUGGGCGGAAUAUGACAUGUAGUGGUGAAAUACAUAGAGAUGUCAUAGAACACCGAUUGCGAAGGCAGCUCACAAAGCUGUAACUGACACUGAGGCUCGAAAGUGCGGGGAUCAAACAGG